UACGUGAGGGUGCGAGCGUUGUUCGGAAUUACUGGGCGUAAAGGGCGCGUAGGCGGCCCGCUAAGUCGAACGUGAAAUCCCCGAGGCUCAACUCGGGAACUGCGUCCCGAUACUGGUGGGCUUGAAUCCGGGAGAGGGGAUGCGGAAUUCCAGGUGUAGCGGUGAAAUGCGUAGAUAUCGGGAGGAACAUCAGUGGCGAAGGCGGCCUUCUGGUCCAGUACUGGACACUCAAGUCGCGAAAGCGUGGGGAGCAAACAGG
rnacentral:rRNA from 1 species